rnacentral:rRNA from 1 species
GAUGAACGCUGGCGGCGUGCCUAAUACAUGCAAGUAGAACGCUGAAGGAGGAGCUUGCUCUUCUGGAUGAGUUGCGAACGGGUGAGUAACGCGUAGGUAACCUGCCUGGUAGCGGGGGAUAACUAUUGGAAACGAUAGCUAAUACCGCAUGACAACAGUUAUUGCAUGAUAACUGUUUAAAAGGGGCAACUGCUCCACUACCAGAUGGACCUGCGUUGUAUUAGCUAGUUGGUGAGGUAACGGCUCACCACGGCGACGAUACAUAGCCGACCUGAGAGGGGGAUCGGCCACCCUGGGACUGAGACACGGCCCAGACUCCUACGGGAGGCAGCAGUAGGGAAUCUUCGGCAAUGGACGGAAGUCUGACCGAGCAACGCCGCGGGAGUGAAGAAGGUUGUCGGAUCGUAAAGCUCUGUUGUAAGAGAAGAACGAGUGUGAGAGUGGAAAGUUCACACUGUGACGGUAUCUUACCAGAAAGGGACGGCUAACUACGUG